UUUGCUCUUUAACGGAGGGCUAGCAUAAAAGAGAUUACGACACUAAACCUUUUUUAAUUUUAAAACAAAACUUAAUAUCUACAUCAAAAAGUGUAGAUAUCUUAAAAAGACGAUAAGACCCUAUAAAACUUUAUUACUAUCUUGAAAUUCUUUUUAGAAAACCUUCUUUAAAAAUAGUAAUUGUGCUGGGGCGGCUUCUAAUUCAUUCUUUAGAAAAAAUAACACUUUUUGUGGAAAACAAGAUCUGAUAAAGAAUAGAGCAAGUUACUUUAGGGAUAACAGCGCAAUAUACCAUUAUAUAAUAAUGGUAGGACUUGCGACCUCGAUGUUGAAUUUGGGGAGCCUGCCUCUGGUAAGGAGGUCUGUUCGACCUUUAAUCCCCCA
rnacentral:rRNA from 1 species